rnacentral:rRNA from 1 species
UACGGAGGAUCCGAGCGUUAUCCGGAAUUAUUGGGCGUAAAGAGCUCGUAGGCGGUUUGUCGCGUCUGCUGUGAAAGCCCGGGGCUCAACCCCGGGUGUGCAGUGGGUACGGGCAGGCUGGAGUGCAGUAGGGGAGACUGGAAUUCCUGGUGUAGCGGUGAAAUGCGCAGAUAUCAGGAGGAACACCGAUGGCGAAGGCAGGUCUCUGGGCUGUUACUGACACUGAGAAGCGAAAGCAUGGGGAGCGAACAG